AUUGAACGCUGGCGGCAGGCCUAACACAUGCAAGUCGAGCGAGCGGCGGACGGGUGAGUAAUGUCUGGGAAACUGCCUGAUGGAGGGGGAUAACUACUGGAAACGGUAGCUAAUACCGCAUACCAUCAGAUGUGCCCAGAUGGGAUUAGCUAGUAGGUGGGGUAACGGCCCACCUAGGCGACGAUCCCUAGCUGGUCUGAGAGGAUGACCAGCCAAACUGGAACUGAGACACGAUCCAGACUCCUAAGGAAGGCAGCAGUGGGGAAUAUUGCACAAGGGGCGAAAGCCUGAUGCAGCCAUGCCGCGUGUGUGAAGAAGGCCUUCGGGUUGUAAAGCACUUUCAGCGGGGAGGCGUUACCCGCAGAAGAAGCACCGACUAACACCGUGCCAGCAGCCGCGGUAAUUC
rnacentral:rRNA from 1 species